rnacentral:rRNA from 1 species
CUACGGAGGGGGCUAGCGUUGUUCGGAAUUACUGGGCGUAAAGCGUACGUAGGCGGACUGAUCAGUUGGGGGUGAAAUCCCAGGGCUUAACCCUGGAACUGCCUUCAAUACUGUCAGUCUUGAGAUUGGAAGAGGUGAGUGGAAUUCCUAGUGUAGAGGUGAAAUUCAUAGAUAUUAGGAGGAACACCAGUGGCGAAGGCGGCUCACUGGUCCAAUACUGACGCUGAGGUACGAAAGCGUGGGGAGCAAACAGGAUUAGAAACCCCAGUAGUCC